rnacentral:rRNA from 1 species
GACGAACGCUGGCGGCGUGCUUAACACAUGCAAGUCGAACGGAAAGGCCUGCUUUCCCUUGUGGAUUGCGGGUACUCGAGUGGCGAACGGGUGAGUAACACGUGAGUGAUCUGCCCCCAACUUGGGUAUAAGCCUGGGAAACUGGGGCUAAUUCCCGAUAGGACUGCAGGGUGGUGCCUGUGGUGGAAAACGAUUUUCUAGUGGUUGGGGAUGAGCUCGCGGCCUAUCAGGUUGGUGGUGGGGUAAUGGCCUACCAAGGCGGCGACGGGUAGCCGGCCUGGGAGGGUGGACGGCCACAGUGGGACUGAGAUACGGCCCAGACUCCUACGGGAGGCAGCAGUGGGGAAUAUGGCACAGUGGGCGGAAGCCUGAUGCAGCGACGCCGCGUGGGGGAUGACGGCCUUCGGGUUGUAAACUCCUUUCGACCGCGAGGAAGCCACCUGGUUGGAAGGGUGGUGACGGUAGUGGUAGAAGAAGCACCGGCUAACUACGUG